UGAUACGGGCAACAGUUUUAAACGGGUCGUUUGAAAUUGUCGCGUUUGACAAAUUCUCAUCUGUCCGCUUAUCACAGAAUCUAAUCUUAUCAGUUCCGCCAACAGCGUCUCUGCCCAUCCCCCCGAAAUCUCGCUAAAAAUCGUCGGUAUCAUGGUUCGAAAUGCAUGAGUCAUGCGCGUUUAGUUAUUAUUCGGCCAUGUUCGUUGGUAUACAUUGGUAGAGUGUCCAAGUGUUAUUGGUUUUUUUCGAGGGAAAUUCGCACCUUUCCGGCCUAAAAAUGGCAGGAAACACGGGAAUGGAGCAGCUUAUUCCCAUCGUGAACAAGCUGCAGGACGCUUUCACCCAGCUGGGGGUCCACAUGACCCUGGAUCUGCCCCAAAUCGCGGUGGUGGGCGGACAAUCGGCUGGAAAAAGCUCCGUCUUGGAGAACUUCGUCGGCAAAGACUUCCUUCCUCGAGGCUCAGGGAUUGUCACUCGGAGGCCGUUGAUCCUACAGCUGAUCAAUUCAAAUUCCGAAUAUGCCGAGUUCCUUCAUUGCAAAGGCAAAAAAUUCGUCGACUUCGACGAGGUACGCCGGGAAAUUGAAGGGGAGACGGAUCGAAUCACCGGGAGCAAUAAGGGCAUCUCGAACAUACCGAUCAACCUGAGGGUGUAUUCCCCAAUUGUUUUAAAUCUAACACUCAUCGAUCUCCCUGGUUUGACGAAAGUUCCCAUCGGAGAUCAGCCCGUCGACAUCGAGCAGCAGAUUAAGUCCAUGAUCCUGCAGUUCAUAAAAAGGGAAUCGUGUCUUAUCUUGGCCGUGACGCCAGCCAACACCGAUCUGGCCAACUCGGAUGCUCUCAAGAUGGCGAAGGAGGUCGACAUCCAAGGCAUACGAACCAUCGGCGUCAUAACCAAACUCGACCUGAUGGACGAAGGCACCGACGCGAGAGACGUCCUAGAGAACAAACUUCUACCCUUACGAAGAGGUUACAUAGGCGUGGUGAAUCGUUCUCAGAAAGACAUCGAAGGAAGAAAAGACAUCAAGGCGGCUCUGGCCGCCGAGAGGCAGUUCUUUUUGACGCAUCCGUCGUACCGCCACCUCGCCGAUCGUCUGGGUACCCCCUACUUGCAGAGGGUUCUCAAUCAGCAGCUCACCAAUCACAUCAGGGACACGCUUCCCGGACUCAGAGAUAAGUUACAGAAGCAGCUGUUGACGCUCGAGAAGGACGUCGAUCAGUUCAAGCACUUCCGGCCGGACGAUCCAGCCAUCAAGACCAAGGCGAUGCUGCAGAUGAUCCAGCAACUGCAAACGGACUUCGAGCGAACCAUCGAAGGUUCGGGAUCCGCACAAAUCAACACGAUGGAGUUGUCCGGAGGCGCGAAAAUUAAUCGUUUGUUCCAUGAACGUUUUCCGUUUGAAAUCGUUAAGAUGGAGUUCGACGAGAAAGAACUGAGGAGGGAAAUAGCGUUCGCUAUUAGGAAUAUACACGGUAUUAGGGUUGGUUUGUUCACUCCAGAUAUGGCGUUUGAAGCUAUCGUCAAAAAGCAGAUUGCUAGAUUAAAAGAACCGUCACUGAAGUGCGUGGAUUUGGUGGUGACUGAGCUGUCUAAUGUAGUCCGUAUUUGUACAGACAAAAUGUCGCGGUACCCCCGCCUCCGAGAAGAAGCCGAGCGCAUCAUCACCACCCACAUCCGCCAGCGCGAGCAGUACUGCAAGGAGCAACUCUGCCUCCUCAUCGACUGCGAACUCGCGUACAUGAACACGAACCACGAAGAUUUCAUCGGGUUUGCAAACGCCCAGAACCAGUCCGAAAACGCGUCUAAGACGGGCUCGCGAGGUACCUUAGGCAACCAGGUCAUCCGAAAGGGUUACAUGUGCAUCCACAAUUUGGGUAUAAUGAAAGGGGGUUCCAGAGACUACUGGUUCGUGCUAACGUCGGAGAACAUCUCCUGGUACAAGGACGAGGAGGAGCGCGAGAAGAAGUACAUGCUGCCUCUGGACGGGCUCAAACUUCGGGACAUCGAGCAGGGAUUCAUGUCGAGGAGACACAUGUUCGCGCUCUUCAACCCAGACGGUGGUAGGAACGUUUACAAGGACUACAAGCAGCUGGAGUUGAGUUGCGAGACUCUGGACGAAGUGGAUUCGUGGAAAGCGUCGUUCCUGAGGGCCGGAGUCUACCCGGAGAAGCAAACGGAGCAAGUUAAUGGAGAGGAGACCGGCGGCGAGAACGUCAGCAGCUCCAUUGAUCCCCAGCUCGAGCGUCAAGUCGAAACGAUCCGAAAUCUGGUAGACAGUUACAUGAGAAUCGUAACAAAAACCACCCGAGACCUGGUACCAAAAACCAUAAUGUACAUGAUAAUCAACCACACCAAAGACUUCAUCAACGGCGAACUCCUAGCACACAUCUACGCCAGCGGCGAUCAAGCGCAAAUGAUGGAAGAAGCCCCCGAAGAGGCCCAGAAACGCGAAGAAAUGCUGCGAAUGUACCACGCGUGCAAGGAGGCGCUGCGCAUCAUCGGCGACGUGUCCAUGGCGACGGUGUCGACGCCCGUGCCGCCCCCGGUCAAGAACGACUGGCUGGCGAGCGGCCUGGAGAACCCCAGGUUGUCGCCGCCGAGUCCUGGCGGGCCCAGGAAGACGGCGCCCAACAUGGGACAGGUCGGCAGCAGCGGUUCGCGAGCGCCGCCCCCGCCGCCGAGUUCCGGAAGGCCGGCGCCCGCCAUCCCGAACAGGCCUGGCGGCGGAGUGCCGCCGAUGCCCCCAGGGAGACCUCAAGGACAAGCCUUGCCUGCACCGCUCGUACCAACUCGAGUUGGGGGCCAAGGACCGCAAGGGGGCGUUCAAGUGCCCCCUCAGGUGCAGAUGGCAGUUGGAAGAGCUGUAACCAAUGCUGCUAUCAACGAACUCUCCAAUGCCUUCAAGUUCCAUAAGUAAUUUUCGUUUUUAACAUGCUUGUACUUCAAUAACUACAUCAUCUCAAUCAUACUAACACUUGUUUGUCAACAUCAGACACAGCAUGUCCUAACUGUCGAGCGAGUCAUGACAAUUUUGUUAUAAUAUAUAUACACAUUGUACGAAAAAAGGGGCUGUGCGCUAGCGCGAUUGGCAGUUCUAACCUCAAAACGUUGACAUUUCAGAAGGACUACCAACCGCGGUUGGUGAUCACAGCCGACUGAGACUAGUUUUUUGCCGAACAUUCCAUGACAACAACUUAAGGGGCAUCCACAGGUGUCCCGUAGUCUAGGUCGAAAUAAUUUAAGCAUUUUUAAGAGUCGAUGUGCUAGAUGCAGACGCACAUUCCAAAAAUAUGAUCUUCCGUGUAGUGUACGACGUAACCAAAACUGGAUGUCUAUUCUAUCGCUUUCUAUAACAAGACGCUUACUACAUAUAAAAAUAGUACAUCGGUGUUUCAUACUUGCAUUGAUUUUUGCACAAUUAGUUGACAUGGUGGCAUAUCAGUUUUGACGACUAGCGGACCGUAGAGGGUGGCCGCUUUUCCGAAUAGAGUGUAGUAAAGACAAAUAAAAAAGACGUACCAUUUAUAUGUAGGUGUCUGUAGGCGCAGUCAAUUAUGACGUUCGUAAUCAUUCCAACAUAGUGAUGUUACGCAAUAGUGUAGAUUAUAAGAGUUAUAGCUUACGAUCAGCAUCAUUACGUCAGAAAUUCAAGUAUUGAUAUUUUUAUGAAGAUUCGAUUCUUUUGUAAGAUAUUUCGGGAUAGCCUAUGAAAACAUCAUUUGCUUAAUGAUCUUGUUGUAAUGAAAUUGUUGUUAAGUAUUUAUAAUAAGUGGCUAAUCCGUGAACAUAUAUAAAAUAACGAUAUAGCAGAACUGUACGUCGAUGUCAUGUAUGAACACAUUCUGUAGAUAGAGUUCCAUAAAUUUUCUUAAUUUUAAAAUGUUACGCAAGUGAUCUAGUACGCAGAGCUUUAAGUUGUUAUGAUGAGGCCGUUGUUGUACAUAAAUUUGUAAUUAUCGUGUUAACAUUUUAAAAUUAUAACAGAUGAGUGCACUGAGCACGACAAUUAUGUAGUUAUUCUGAAUGUGUAAAUAUAGAAAUAAUAUAUGAGUUCUUUAUUUCGUCUGAACCCUACCCCGUCCUUGUGCUGGUGGUGGGCUUGUCUCGUGUGCUUUCUCUUCAAAGUAACUGCACUGCGACUUUAAUCAUCUUACUCACUCGUGUGUGUUUUCUCGAAAAUCCUUAAACCUCUUUAGAAGCUAGAGAAUGCUGCAUGAUUGCUUGAAUCGGAGUCGGCCAGUUCCAAAUAUACCUCCAAGAAUACCCGAUAGGCCCUAUCCUGGAAGACCAAAUUAAAGUUUCUAGUCAAAAUUCAGAUUGUGGGACCAACGAGGUUAACUUACUCAGUGACACUACACACAAGAUUGUGAAUUCAAAACUAUGUGAUUGUAAAUGUAAGGGAUAAAGACUUCUUUAUAUUGCUUACGUUUGUUUAUUUUAAUUUCGAGCUGUAACAACACAGUACAACUGACAGUAAUAAUUUGUACCUAGUCUACAUGUAUAGUAUUAUCCCACUUAUGUUUUCCUGAACGAAAUUAAUUUAAUUUUAUAAAUUCAGUUGCUGUAUAUAUUUAAUUGUUACUUUGUACUCUUAAACUUAUUUGUAAUAUAUUGUUUAUUUUUA